ACCAGACUCCUACGGGAGGCAGCAGUGGGGGAUAUUGCACAAUGGGGGGAACCCUGAUGCAGCGACGCCGCGUGGGUGAAGAAGCGCCUCGGCGCGUAAAGCCCUGUCAGCAGGGAAGAAAAUGACGGUACCUGAAGAAGAAGCCCCGGCUAACUACGUGCCAGCAGCCGCGGUAAUACGUAGGGGGCAAGCGUUAUCCGGAUUUACUGGGUGUAAAGGGGGCGCAGACGGCGAUGCAAGCCAGGAGUGAAAGCCCGGGGCCCAACCCCGGGACUGCUCUUGGAACUGCGUGGCUGGAGUGCAGGAGGGGCAGGCGGAGUUCCUGGUGUAGCGGUGAAAUGCGUAGAUAUCAGGAGGAACACCGGUGGCGAAGGCGGCCUGCUGGACUGCAACUGACGUUGAGGCCCGAAAGCGUGGGGAGCAAACAGGAUUAGAUACCCCAGUA
rnacentral:rRNA from 1 species